GGCAGAUGCCUCCUUGUUCCAGGCUGACAAGCCCGGGCUUGUGCUUAUUUCACUGUCUAACCCUGCCCAGGCCCCGGGGAGAAGCCUGGUAUUCUUCGUGUUUAUUUAAUUGUCAACUCUCUGUGUUCUAAGACGAUACCCUGGCCUUGACUCAGUACAACCUAGGACUGUAAGUCCCAUCAUGUCUAUGGACUUCAGUUUCCAGACAUGAAACACAAGAGGCUUGGACGAGAUUAGAAAUCAAGAACUCGAAUGCGUAUGGUCAGAGCCACGAGAGUUUCCAUAAAGGAACACAACCAUGUGGACAACUUGAUUAUGCCCUACAAAACUCCAUCCAUGUAUGAUGUGACUUGCUCCUACAUGCCUUCCACCAUGAUUAUGAGGCCUCCUGAGCCAUGUGGAACUGUGCUCAGCACUGAAUAGAAAGCCUGGCGCAUGUUCUGGAGGCUGGGAAGUCCACAAUCAAAGCACUAGCAUAUGAUGUCUGGUAAGGGCCUGGUCUCUGCUUCCAAGAUGGUGCCUUGAAUGUUGUACCCUCCAGAGGGGAGAAAUACUGUUCCUCUCAUGGCAGAGAAAAGGAAGAGACAGAAUUUACUCCCACAAGCCCUUUUAUAGUGGCAUUGACCCAUUCGUGAGGGCAGAUCCCUCUUGAUCUAUACAUCACUCAUUAGGCCCCCACCACCCAACACUGUAGCAGGUGUGACUUAUGUUUCAACUUGAGUUUUGGAGGGCACUAAAACACUUAAACCACACCAUGAAUCAAAGGCGUAAGUGAAGGAGCUUAAACUAUAAAUAUCUUAGAGAAAAACAUAGCCAUGGAAUAAAUCUUUGUGACUUUGGAUUACCCAAAGUUUCUUAGAUUUGGCACUAAAACCACAAAGAACUAAAUAAAA
ensembl:lncRNA novel transcript